rnacentral:rRNA from 1 species
GACGAACGCUGGCGGCGUGCCUAAUACAUGCAAGUAGAACGCACAGUUUAUACCGUAGCUUGCUACACCAUAGACUGUGAGUUGCGAACGGGUGAGUAACGCGUAGGUAACCUGCCUGGUAGCGGGGGAUAACUAUUGGAAACGAUAGCUAAUACCGCAUAAUAUUGAUUAUUGCAUGAUAAUUAAUUGAAAGGUGCAAUUGCACCACUACCAGAGGGACCUGCGUUGUAUUAGCUAGUAGGUGAGGUAACGGCUCACCUAGGCGACGGUACAUAGCCGACCUGAGAGGGGGAUCGGCCACACUGGGACUGAGACACGGCCCAGACUCCUACGGGAGGCAGCAGUAGGGAAUCUUCGGCAAUGGACGAAAGUCUGACCGAGCAACGCCGCGUGAGUGAAGAAGGUUUUCGGAUCGUAAAGCUCUGUUGUAAGAGAAGAACGGGUGUGAGAGUGGAAAGUUCACACUGUGACGGUAUCUUACCAGAAAGGGACGGCUAACUACGUG